ACGUCGGGCGAGCCGCCGCCGCAAGCCCAACCGCUCCCGCACGACCCUGCUUCAUUCCACCUCUGGCAUCCACUAUUUGGCAACCAAAAAAGCUGCUACAGCCCUUGGAAUUGGACGUCGGUGACGGCGACGGGCGACUGACCGCGGGCGCCGCGCGGGCCCGCGCCCGCGCGCCCGCCCUGAGCGGCGGCGAGCCGGCGGGGGGCGGCGGCGGCUGCGGGGCGGGGAGCUGCACUACACACUACGCUUCUAUAUCAACUGUCACUUCGCCCAAACAAGCAAAGAAACAGUUAUAGACCCCUUAAAUCUAUGUUAUACGUUAGUUUUUAUGUUUUAAUUUAUUUUUAGUGUUAUACGCCGGUAGCCUUUAUCCGUCGCUAGCGAGCUGUUAAUGAUUUAAGUUUUUUAUUUGUAUUAAUUAUAUUUUCAAUUGUUAAAAAAUAACGCAGAAUAUUUUUGUACCUCGAAGCAAAGUGUUGAACGAAAUUUUCCGUCCGAUGUCGUUAUCUCCCCGCGCCCCCUUGCGGCCCCCCGCGCUCCACACUCUGCCUGUCACCUGUUAACUUAUCUGUACAAAGCAUUAUUGAGAAUUGUCUGUUAUUGUCUAUUAUUAUUUGGACUCAAUUGUUUUCUAAAAUGUGAAAUUGAGAGAUAAAAUGUUUCUAAGAAAUGAACAUUAAUUAACGAUAAGUCUGUACUAUGAUGAAUUUAUUAAUUUUGGUUAAAGCAGAAUUAUUUAAAACUUACAACUGUGAUAUCCUCUCGGGCAUUAAACCUAAUGUUUCGGAAAGCUAUCGCGUAUUAGCACUAUUUCUUCGACACAAAAAUAUCUUGUUUCCGAGCCAUUGAAACUACCGAUUUAGAUAUCUCCAACUAUGGAUAUUAAUUUUUCUAUUCAGACUAGUCGUUAUUCAAAUAUUUUCAGACGUUUUUUAUUUUAUUUUACUGCAUUUUUUAUGGUUGUCAUUUUUUUAUUGUCUAUUGCUAUAAUUGUAGAUUUCCGCGAUCAUUAAAAAUGUUGCCAGUUUAAUAUCUUUAUUGUGUUGUACAGAUAAGUUCACACCGUUCAUGCUAAACCACUGGAACGGAAUUGCUUACCCUUAACACACCUUUACUAGAUUGUCUGUUGUGUAGAAUUUAAAUUCUAAUAGAUACUGCGUUGCAGAAAACAAAACUUGAACGCGUUUACCUCCCUAUGCGAACAAAAAAAACUACUUUUGAUUACAUGAUUUUCUUAUUUGUUUUCAAUUUUAUUUGUGGUUCAUUCCAAGUUAAUUGCAAUUUUGUACUCAAAGAGAUAUCUAUAGUUUGACAGCAGGUGAAUAGCGUUUUUUUUUAAACCGCGGCUAAAGUUUUGAGACAUUUUUGCUUACGUUAAAAUGUUUUAAUUAUGUUUCCUAUAAAAUACGUGCAAUCUAUUAAAUUGUUUUCUUUGUUUUUUUCCUGAAUGUUAAAGCUUCAUUGUCAUUAUUUAAAUUACAGAGAAAUAAUUGUUUAAUCUAUAUCAUAUUUUGUGCGCUUGUUUAUGGUGACUUUAUUUUUGUAUUACGUUACAUUUAUUUGUUCAUUUUCCUUUGUAGAUCUUCCAACAGAAAUGUAACACGUUUUUUAUUAUCGUUAACUCAUAGACACGAUUUAUUUUUUGUCAUAGAUAUUCUUAUGAUUAUUUAAGUUUUCUUUGUUAAUUGUAAUGGAUGUGAUUGAGGUUAUAUGGACUUAACAAUUGAUCUUUUUAAGGUUGUACUAGCGAUAGGUAUCUCUUUAGAACAAGAGACGAGGCUGGGGUUAUGUAUUGUACGUACCUGCCAAAGCUAGAUAAGUACAUAAAGUAUUUCAGUGUAUAAAAUACUUUCAAAGAAAGGCUCUCUGGUGGGUACACGUUUUCCGUACAGUUAGUGGACGUUAUAUACCAUAUCUCUAAAUAAUAAGAUGGUGCAAUGGUUAAAGUGGCGGACAAAGUGCACAGAGAGUAAUUAUAAUUUAGUUGUGAUACAAGUGCGCGAUCGCGUUCGCAUUGUUGCAAACAAGUGCAAUGUUGGACUGUAUGUGUAUAUCGUAGUUAGGAAAGUUAAGAGUUACGGUGCAUUUAUCUAUGGGUGCGUUCGGACUUAGGUUGACUUUGAAAUUUAUUUUAAAAAUGUAAUGAUGUAUUUUUGUAACAUUACUUCAGUAAUUAAUGGAUUGAAGUUAAAAAUUUAUUGUUAUAUAUGCUAGCUAUUUGUUUGGGAAGCCAUCUUUGUUUUUGGACGAAGCUCUCUUUUGCAGUUAUUAAAAAUUAAUCUUUUAUUGAAAAUUACAAAAUCAAUCUACGUCCAGCGCUCGUUAAAAUAAAGACAAAACGGUACAAGUUGACAUCUCUUGAUGAGAACUCAUGGUAUAUCGUAUUUAGUCGUUCAUCAUACUGGGACAGUGAAUCGUGACAUUUACAAAUUCACAAAGCAGUUUAAUUGCCUUUUAAACAUUUAAUAUUUAUUUAUUUCACGUGACUAUGUUCGAAUCGUGAGUUCUUGUCGCGAAGAGUCGAUCCAGUGACAGCAAUCGGGCUAAAAUGAGAGUAGGACGCUUCGUGUUUAUGGUUCCUUUGAACUUAAAGCCACGGCUACAUUGACGGAAUUAAAAAUUUUAAAUAUAAUAACUAUUUAUUACUUAUCGAGAUAAGUGUAAUCCUACGAAUAUAUUUCUAUUAAACUUUUUAUGAUUAAAAUAAAUUUAAAAUGGUUAAUAUUCCUCUCUCAAUUUAGCCAUUUUGUAUCUGUGUUAGCGUCGUAUUUAAAUUAUGAUUCUGAUACAAAUGAUUCCUUUGACAUUUCUCUAAUGUUGGGUUUAUUUAGGAUAGCUUAGGUACAAGUAGUUUGUUUAGAUACCAAGUUAUAAAGUUUGCUGACAUCUCUAAUGAUAAGCAACUUCAAUAAAAAUUAGACAAUGUUUGGGCUCGCCGAAGUUUGCCUUAAGAUAAGUACAAUAAAAAACAUUUAAUUUAUCACUUUAACUGUAUU